UUGAUAUCAAAUAUGAAUCAAUAUCUUGAUAUCAAAUAUGAAUCAUAUCUUUGCCUUAAUAUUUUUCUAGCCCUUCAAACUUCAGCUUUUUAAUAGAGUUCAUCAUUUCCUCCCUAAAUCCCUUUUAUUUUCUAGAAAAUAGAAUAGAAUAGAAAAUUGUGUUUUCUAUUAUGGCUGUCUAUCUUAAUUGUGUUGGAAAGCUCUUGUUUUGCUGUGGAGCUUCCAAUCCCCCUUGCUCUGUCAAGGGACCAGAUCUUCUGUUGGGUGUUCCCUUCCCUACUCUCAGCCCAGGAUAUGAGGAUAUACCAUUCAGAGCAUAUCCUCAUGCCCACUUCAGGAGAGGGCUUGUGACUGCAACCUGGCCAAUGGAGCAGCACCUUCCUCUAGCCUCAGGGACCCAAAUGAAAGGACAACAGUGCAAUUGGACCCAAACAAGAUGGCCACUUCAGAGGAUAUGGGAGCCGUUGGCAUUAAGGUGCACAUGGAGUUGA
rnacentral:lncRNA from 1 species